rnacentral:rRNA from 1 species
GUAGGGAAUAUUGGGCAAUGGACGGAAGUCUGACCCAGCCAUGCCGCGUGCAGGAUGAAGGCGCUCAGCGUUGUAAACUGCUUUUAUCUGGGAAGAACGGCAGUCCUGCGGGAUUGUGUGACGGUACCAGAGGAAUAAGCACCGGCUAACUCCGUGCCAGCAGCCGCGGUAAUACGGAGGGUGCAAGCGUUGUCCGGAUUUAUUGGGUUUAAAGGGUGCGUAGGUGGUAUUGUAAGUCUGGUUUGAAAGCUGGUCGCUUAACGAUCAGAUGUGGCUGGAAACUGCGGUACUUGAAUGGAUUGGCGGUAGCCGGAAUGGGUCAUGUAGCGGUGAAAUGCAUAGAUAUGACCCGGAACACCGAUUGCGAAGGCAGGCUACUACGAUUUGAUUGACACUGAGGCACGAGAGCAUGGGUAGCGAACAGG